GSGGGUGCUUCUUCUUCCAGUACCGUCAUCCACGCACGUUAUUCACGUACGCGAUUUCGUUCCGGCCGAAAGAGCUUUACAACCCGAAGGCCUUCUUCACUCACGCGGCAUGGCUGGAUCAGGGUUUCCCCCAUUGUCCAAAAUUCCCCACUGCUGCCUCCCGUAGGAGUCUGGGCCGUGUCUCAGUCCCAGUGUGGCUGGUCGUUCUCUCAAACCAGCUACGGAUCGUAGCCUUGGUGGGCUUUUACCCCGCCAACUAGCUAAUCCGGCAUCGGCCGCUCCAUGAGCGCGAGGUUCUUGCGAAUCCCCCGCUUUCUCCCUCAGGACGUAUGCGGUAUUAGCCUCGAUUUCUCGAGGUUGUCCCCCACUCCUGGGUACGCUCCGAUGUAUUACUCACCCGUUCGCCACUCUACUCGCAGGGUUGCCCCCGCUUUCGCGUUCGACUUGCAUGUGUAAGGCAUGCCGCCAGCGUUCAAUCUGAGCCAGGAUCAAACUCUAAUCACUAGUGAAUUCGCGGCCGCCUGCAGGUCGACCAUAUGGGAGAGCUCCCAACGCGUUGGAUGCAUAGCUUGAGUAUUCUAUAGUGUCACCUAAAUAGCUUGGCGUAUCAUGC
rnacentral:rRNA from 1 species